rnacentral:rRNA from 1 species
GACGAACGCUGGCGGCGUGCCUAACACAUGCAAGUCGAACGGAAAGGCCCGGCUUUGGGGGGGAGCUCGAGUGGAGAACGGGUGAGUAACACGUGAGUAACCUGUCCCUGACCGUGGGAUAACCUAAGGAAACUGGGUCUCAUCCCGGAUAGGAGCUCUUGCUGCUUGGUGGGGGUUGGUAGGUUUCGGUGGUUGGGGAUGGACUCGCGGCGUAUCAGCUUGUUGGAUGGGUAGUGGCUUACCAAGGCUUGGACGGGUAGCCGGGCUGGAAGGGUGACCGGCCACGUUGGGACUGAGAUACGGCCCAGACUCCUACGGGAGGCAGCGGUGGAGAAUAUUGCACAAUGGGCGGAAGCCUGAUGCAGCAACGCCGCGUGCGGGAUGACGGCCUUCGGGUUGUAAACCGCUUUCGCCUGUCACGAGGCGUGAGUGACGGUAAUGGGUAAAGAAGCACCGGCUAACUCCGUG